GUAGUCAUAUGCUUGUCUCAAAGAUUAAGCCAUGCAUGUCUAAGUAUAAGCAAUUAUACAGCGAAACUGCGAAUGGCUCAUUAAAUCAGUUAUCGUUUAUUUGAUAGUACCUUACUACUUGGAUAACCGUGGUAAUUCUAGAGCUAAUACAUGCUAAAAACCCCGGCUCACGAAGGGGUGUAUUUAUUAGAUUAAAAGCCAAUGCCCUUCGGGGCUCACUGGUGAUUCAUAAUAACUUGUCGAAUCGCAUGGCCUAGCGCCGGCGAUGGUUCAUUCAAAUUUCUGCCCUAUCAACUUUCGACGGCUGGGUCUUGGCCAGCCAUGGUGACAACGGGUAACGGAGGGUUAGGGCUCGACCCCGGAGAACGAGCCUGAGAAACGGCUAUUACAUCCAAGGAAGGCAGCAGGCGCGCAAAUUACCCAAUACCGACUCGGUGAGGUAGUGACGAUAAAUACUGAUACAGGGCUCUUUUGGGUCUUGUAAUUGGAAUGAGUACAAUUUAAAUCUCUUAACGAGGAACAAUUGGAGGGCAAGUCUGGUGCCAGCAGCC
rnacentral:rRNA from 1 species